UAAGGCCGAUGGCGACCGGCGCACGGGUGAGUAACACGUAUCCAACCUGCCGUCUACUCUUGGACAGCCUUCUGAAAGGAAGAUUAAUACAAGAUGGCAUCAUGAGUCCGCAUGUUCACAUGAUUAAAGGUAUUCCGGUACACGAUGGGGAUGCGUUCCAUUAGAUAGUAGGCGGGGUAACGGCCCACCUAGUCUUCGAUGGAUAGGGGUUCUGAGAGGAAGGUCCCCCACAUUGAAACUGAUACACGGUCCAAACUCCUACAGGAGGCAGCAGUGAGGAAUAUUGGUCAAUGGGCGAGAGCUUGAACCAGCCAAGUAGCGUGAAGGAUGACUGCACAAAAAGGGUUGUAAACUUCUUUUAUAAAGGAAUAAAGUCGGGUAUGGAUACCCGUUUGCAUGUACUUUAUGAAUAAGGAUCGGCUAACUCCGUGCCAGCAGCCGCGGUAAUACGGAGGAUCCGAGCGUUAUCCGGAUUUAUUGGGUUUAAAGGGAGCGUAGAUGGAUGUUUAAGUCAGUUGUGAAAGUUUGCGGCUCAACCGUAAAAUUGCAGUUGAUACUGGAUAUCUUGAGUGCAGUUGAGGCAGGCGGAAUUCGUGGUGUAGCGGUGAAAUGCUUAGAUAUCACGAAGAACUCCGAUUGCGAAGGCAGCCUGUUAAGCUGCAACUGACAUUGAGGCUCGAAAGUGUGGGUAUCAAACAGGCUUAGAUCCCCUGGUAGUCCACC
rnacentral:rRNA from 1 species